rnacentral:lncRNA from 1 species
UCGCGGUCUCUAUUUAACUCUGAUUGGCCAAAAAUACUUAAACUCAGUUAUUAUUGUUAAGGUGCGAGACCUCGUAUAUUCUUAAUGAGAAUUUUUAGCACAGAAUAUUCGGCUCUGAUAUCAUAUAUAAUGAUUCGAACCGUUAGUAAUAAUAAUUUAUUAGAGCUCAAACUACUAGCCCAAGAUAUUUAAGCCCAAUUAUUAUUACUAAUGUCCACGGUCUCUUAUGUACUAGAUAAUAAUUUCAUUUCUAUCCGAUGUGAGACUAUUGAAGUGCCACAUUAUUAACCGUAAUCAUGUUUUGUUAA